rnacentral:rRNA from 1 species
UACGUAGGGUGCGAGCGUUUGUCCGGAAUUAUUGGGCGUAAAGGGCUCGUAGGCGGUUUGUCGCGUCGGGAGUGAAAACAUCCAGCUUAACUGGGUGCUUGCUUUCGAUACGGGCAGACUAGAGGUAUGCAGGGGAGAACGGAAUUCCUGGUGUAGCGGUGAAAUGCGCAGAUAUCGGGAAGAACACCCGUGGCGAAGGCGGCUCUCUGGGACGGUACUGACGCUGAGACGCGAAAGCGUGGGGAGCGAACGAGG